rnacentral:rRNA from 1 species
CAUGCAAGUCGAGCGAAGAAUGUAGCAAUACGUUCUUAGCGGCGAACGGGUGAGUAACGCGUUGGUGACCUGCCCCGGAGUGUGGGAUAACAGUUCGAAAGGACUGCUAAUACCGCAUGCGGUUAUCGGGAUUAGAAGCCUGAUAACGAAAGGAGAAAUUCGCUCCGGGAGGGGCCUGCGUCCCAUCAGCUAGUUGGUAGGGUAACGGCCUACCAAGGCGAAGACGGGUAGGGGACCUGAGAGGGUGGCCCCCCACAAUGGAACUGAAACACGGUCCAUACACCUACGGGUGGCAGCAGUAGGGAAUAUUGCAUAAUGGGCGAAAGCCUGAUGCAGCAACGCCGCGUGUGCGAUGAAGGCCUUCGGGUCGUAAAGCACUUUUAGAGCGGAUGAGGAAGGACAGUACGCUCUGAAUAAGCCUCGGCUAACUACGUGCCAGCAGCCGCGGUAAAACGUAGGAGGCGAGCGUUAUCCGGAUUUACUGGGCGUAAAGCGUGUGCAGGCGGUCGGGUAAGUUGGAUGUGAAAGCUCCUGGCUUAACUGGGAGAGGUCGUUCAAUACUACCGGACUUGAGGAUGGGAGAGGGAGGUGGAAUUCCGGGUGUAGUGGUGAAAUGCGUAGAUAUCCGGAGGAACAC